rnacentral:rRNA from 1 species
CCUUCGGGGGUGCUCGAGUGGCGAACGGGUGAGUAACACGUGGGUGAUCUGCCUCGUACUCUGGGAUAAGCCUGGGAAACUGGGUCUAAUACUGGAUAGGACCGCACUUUAGUGUGUGUGGUGGAAAGUUUUUUCGGUACGAGAUGAGCCCGCGGCCUAUCAGCUUGUUGGUGGGGUAAUGGCCUACCAAGGCGUCGACGGGUAGCCGGCCUGAGAGGGUGGACGGCCACAUUGGGACUGAGAUACGGCCCAGACUCCUACGGGAGGCAGCAGUGGGGAAUAUUGCACAAUGGGCGCAAGCCUGAUGCAGCGACGCCGCGUGAGGGAUGACGGCCUUCGGGUUGUAAACCUCUUUCGACAGGGACGAAGCUUUUUGUGACGGUACCUGUAUAAGAAGCACCGGCUAACUACGUGCCAGCAGCCGCGGUAAUACGUAGGGUGCGAGCGUUGUCCGGAAUUACUGGGCGUAAAGAGCUCGUAGGUGGUUUGUCGCGUCGUCUGUGAAAUUCCGGGGCUUAACUCCGGGCGUGCAGGCGAUACGGGCAUAACUUGAGUGCUGUAGGGGAGACUGGAAUUCCUGGUGUAGCGGUGGAAUGCGCAGAUAUCAGGAGGAACACCGAUGGCGAAGGCAGGUCUCUGGGCAGUAACUGACGCUGAGGAGCGAAAGCAUGGGGAGCGAACAGGAUUAGAUACCCUGGUAGUCCAUGCCGUAAACGGUGGGCGCUAGGUGUGAGGGUCUUCCACGACUUUCGUGCCGUAGCUAACGCAUUAAGCGCCCCGCCUGGGGAGUACGGCCGCAAGGCUAAAACUCAAAGGAAUUGACGGGGGCCCGCACAAGCGGCGGAGCAUGUGGAUUAAUUCGAUGCAACGCGAAGAACCUUACCUGGG